rnacentral:sRNA from 1 species
AUGCCACCACAGUGGCCUGUUGGGGAGCAAAGGAGAAAUCUGUGGACCGAAGCAUACAAACGGUGGUAUCUUGUCUGUUCAAUCCAGAGAACAGACUGAGAAACUCUGUUGUUACUCAAGAUGACCACUUCAAGGAUAAAAGAGUGCAUCACUUUAGAAGAAGUCGGGCAAUGCUUAAAUCUGUUUGAUCCUCCUGGCUAUCUAGUUACAUGGGAAGUUGCUGGUUUUGAAUAUUACGCUAAAAGUUUUCCACUAUUAUAGAAAUUCUGAAUUUUGGUAAAUCACACUCAAAACUUUGUGUAUAAGUUGUAUUAUUAGACUCUAGUUUUAUCUUAAACUGAAACUGUUGUUCAUUAGAUGUUUAUUUAGAAGCUGGUUCUGUGUUGAAAUAUAGUUGAAAGUAAAAAAAAAUUGAGACUGAAAGAAACUUUAAGAUUUAUCUGCAAGGAUUUUUUAAAAAUUGGCAUUUUAAGUGUUUAAAAGCAAAUACUGAUUUUCAAAAACAAUGUUUUUAAAAACCUAUUUUGAAAGGUCAGAAUUUUGUUGGUCUGAAUACAAGCAUUUCACUUCUCCAACAAGUACCUGUGAACAGUACAGUAUUUACAAUAUUGAGCUUUGCAUUUAUGAUUUGUCUAGAAAUUUACCACAAAAGCAAAAUUUUUAAAACUGCAUUUUUAAUCAGUGGAACUCAAUAUAUAUAGUUAGCUUUAUUGAAGUCUUCUUAUCUAAACCCAGCAAAACAGAUUCAAAGCAAACAGUCCAAUCAGUGGGUCAUAUGUUUAUUCAAAAUAUUUUAUCUUUUAUCUAGAAUCCACACAUAUAUAUCCUAUUUGAUUAGGAUAGUAAUUAGGAUAACUAAAAUUCUGGGCCUAAUUUUUUAAAGAAUCCAAGACAAACUAAACUUUACUAGGUACAUAAGCUUCUCAAUGAGUCACCAUUCUUCUUUUUUGUAAAAACUUUUUUCUUUGAAAUGCUAAACUUGGCUGUAUGUCAAAUUGUGCAAAAUAUUGGUAUUAAAGAAAGCUGCAACUUUUUUAUGUCACUUAGAGGUUAAUCAGAGUAUCUGAAGGGAAUUGUUUUUAUAAAAACAUUGAAAUAUUAGUUACUUGCUAUGAAUAGAUUUAGUCUGUUAUAUUUCCUUUUGUAAAGUAAAAUAUGUCCAGAAGAGUCGCAUUGUUUCUAGAUUAGCUGGUGUCUUCAUUUUACAUUGUGACAAACAACUAGAGCACCAGAGCCCUUUUGCUAUACCCACAGUCUUUCUUUUCCAGCCUUUGUCACUAGUCUUUGAGGAGGUUUGCUCCUAGAACUGGUGAUAUAAAGAAUGAAAGUAGCUGUAUGAGGAGAGCAGUUCAAGGGCCAAACCCUGGAACGGUAGCAAUGGGAUAUAAUACCUUUCUAAGGGAAAAAGUUGUAUCAGUAUCAUUUGAUCUGCCAUGGACAUGAGUUCAAAGCGGCUUUGUGGCCCUUCUUUCAAUGACUUCUUCCCUAAAACGUAGAGACUCUAACUUAAUGUAGUUACUAUGAGCCAUAUUACUAGUGCCCCCUAGGGUCUAUAAUUCCUCAAAAUGUUCAUUCUGAAUCUGAAGGAGAGAGUCUUUUAACUUUAGAAUUCCCAAGAGGGCUUUAUUACGCCUCAGAAAUUGAAAGCACCAUGAAUUUGUCCAUUUGAAAAUGAUCUGUAGUUUUUUUGGUGCUGUAACAUUCUGACACGUAUCAUUCUGUGAUUAAAUCUCCAGCUUACUAUAAAUGAUAUCUAUAUUCUAAAGAGCUACUUCUAAUUAUUUCAAUAUGACCUUAAGGAAAAGUAAGGGAAUAAAUUUUUGUCUUUGUUGGAGUGAAGUAUUUAAAAGAGUAAGGGUAAAAGAGAGGAAGUCCUGAACCUUUCAAAAUGGAAAAUUAAUUCUAAACUUAGAAAUAUGCUUCUGCCUAUUGCUGAUACUGUCUUUGCAUACAUGAAUAAAAAUAAACUUUUUUUCUU